rnacentral:miRNA from 1 species
CCCAGAAGCCAGAACAGCAAGAGGGAUUGCUUUCACUGUGUAGCGAUCCCUCUUGCUGUUCUGGCUUCUGAG